GGAGAGGUGGCUCAGCAGCUAAGAGUACUUGUUAUUGCAGAGGACCUGGGUUAGAUUCCCAGCAACCCCA
rnacentral:tRNA from 1 species